ACAAUAUUGUCCGCCAGAGAACUACAAGCGAAAAACUAGAAACUCCAAGGACUUGGCGGUGCCCCACAUCAACCUAGAGGAGCCUGUCCUAUAAUCGAUACCCCACGUUAAACCUUACCACCUUUUGCCCCCCAGCCUAUAUACCGCCGUCGUCAGCUUACCCCAUGAGAGAAAAAUAGUAGGCAAAACAGUUAAUAACUAACACGUCAGGUCAAGGUGUAGCACACGAGGUGGAAGAGAUGGGCUACAUUAUCUACCCCAGAAUAUACGAAUGGCACAAUGAAACACGUACCUAAAGGUGGAUUUAGUAGUAAGAUAAACAAGAAAUGCUAUCUUAAACUCGCCCUGGGGCGCGCACACACCG
rnacentral:rRNA from 1 species